CACAGUGUAGCAAUACAUGGGUGGCGACCGGCAAACGGGUGCGGAACACGUACGCAACCUUCCUUCAGGCGGGGAAUAGCCCAGAGAAAUUUGGAUUAAUACCCCAUAAUAUUUUGAGAUGGCAUCAUCUUAUUAUUAAAGCUACGGCACCUGGAGAUGGGCGUGCGGCUGAUUAGGUAGUUGGCGGGGUAAUGGCCCACCAAGCCUACGAUCAGUAGCUGAUGUGAGAGCAUGACCAGCCACACGGGCACUGAGACACGGGCCCGACUCCUACGGGAGGCAGCAGUAAGGAAUAUUGGUCAAUGGACGCAAGUCUGAACCAGCCAUGCCGCGUGGAGGAUGAAGGUCCUCUGGAUUGUAAACUUCUUUUAUCUGGGACGAAAAAAGGGUUUUCUAACUCGUCUGACGGUACCAGAUGAAUAAGCACCGGCUAACUCCGUGCCAGCAGCCGCGGUAAUACGGAGGGUGCAAGCGUUAUCCGGAUUCACUGGGUUUAAAGGGUGCGUAGGCGGGCAUUUAAGUCAGUGGUGAAAUACCUGAGCUUAACUUGGGAACUGCCAUUGAUACUAUUUGUCUUGAAUGUCGUGGAGGUUAGCGGAAUAUGUCAUGUAGCGGUGAAAUGCUUAGAUAUGACAUAGAACACCUAUUGCGAAGGCAGCUAACUACGCGAAUAUUGACGCUGAGGCACGAAAGCGUGGGGAUCAAACAGGAUUAGAUACCCUGGUAGUCCACGCCCUAAACGAUGAUUACUCGACAUUAGCGAUACACUGUUAGUGUCUGAGCG
rnacentral:rRNA from 1 species